rnacentral:rRNA from 1 species
ACUAGUGAUUUCCGUAGGUGAACCUGCGGAGGGAUCAUUACCACAUAUCUUCAAUUGAUAUCCGUUCUCCUCCUCACGGGGGAGGUCGAUAUCAUCGUCCCAUGGACAACUGAAAACCAUUUUCUCCAUGCCCCCUUGCCUGGGGCUGGAGGUGAAACCAUUACAAUCCUUUUGUUAUCAACGAAAGUGAUUUAAGCAAUUAAAUCUGAUCACGAAAAAGAACGUAGUCAGGGACGCCUCGGCGCUCUGCAGUAACUUAACGUAAUCAUCACUUUCAGCAAUGGAUGUCUUGGCUCCCACAACGAUGAAGAACGCAGCGAAAUGCGAUACGUCAUGCGACACGCAAAACGUGAGUCAUCAAAACUUUGAACGCAACUUGCUCUUCUCCGGAAGAAUGUCUGUUGGAGUGUCUGUUCAUCCCCACCACCAAACACUUGUGUUUUGCAGUGUAGGCGGCCGCAACGUCCCCCACGUUGGGGAUCUUGUGAGCCCAGAUGAACAGUCUCUGCCCGCAGAGACGAUCCAAUUAAUACCCACCGAACCUCGUUUCUCGUGCUACUUCGCACCGGGGACGACGCGACGUCAAGUUUUUAACAUGAAGCGCGUCUGGUACCUGGAGUGAGGGUGUUGGGACUGCUCUGUAGUUCCGGCGGCUCGAGGGGCUACCCAAGUAGGUCGGCGGUCUAUGAUCUCGAUCGGAUCUCCAAUCAGGCAAGAUUACCCGCCGAAUUUAAGCAUAUCAAUAAGC